UGGGGAAUUUUGGACAAUGGGCGAAAGCCUGAUCCAGCAAUGCCGCGUGUGUGAAGAAGGCCUUCGGGUUGUAAAGCACUUUUGUCCGGAAAGAAAUCCUUGGCUCUAAUACAGUCGGGGGAUGACGGUACCGGAAGAAUAAGCACCGGCUAACUACGUGCCAGCAGCCGCGGUAAUACGUAGGGUGCAAGCGUUAAUCGGAAUUACUGGGGCGUAAAGCGUGCGCAGGCGGUUUGCUAAGACCGAUGUGAAAUCCCCGGGGCUCAACCUGGGAACUGCAUUGGUGACUGGCAGGCUAGAGUAUGGCAGAGGGGGGUAGAAUUCCACGUGUAGCAGUGAAAUGCGUAGAGAUGUGGAGGAAUACCGAUGGCGAAGGCAGCCCCCUGGGCCAAUACUGACGCUCAUGCACGAAAGCGUGGGGAGCAAACAGGAUUAGAUACCCUGGUAGUCCACG
rnacentral:rRNA from 1 species